ACGGAGGGUGCAAGCGUUAUCCGGAUUUAUUGGGUUUAAAGGGUGCGUAGGCGGUAUUAUAAGUCAGUGGUGAAAUGUUGCAGCUUAACUGUAGAAUUGCCAUUGAAACUGCAGUACUUGAGUUAUCUUGAGGUAGGCGGAAUGUGUAGUGUAGCGGUGAAAUGCUUAGAUAUUACACAGAACACCGAUUGCGAAGGCAGCUUACUAAGGGUACACUGACGCUGAGGCACGAAAGCGUGGGGAUCGAACAGGAUUAGAUACCCUGGUAGUCCACGCCGUAAACGAUGAUGACUCGCUGUUGGCGAUACACAGUCAGCGGCUUAGCGAAAGCGUUAAGUCAUCCACCUGGGGAGUACGCUCGCAAGAGUG
rnacentral:rRNA from 1 species